UAGGUAGUAAGUAGAGUGGAUAGUGAUGGACUUGAAGUCAAGAAUAUUUGAGUUUGAAUCCAGUCUCAGAUAUGUAUUAGCUGUGUAAUCCUGGAUAAAGCAUUUAUUCUCAGAAGGUCACAUGGAAUUCCUCCAGUUCAUUAUUCCUUCCGGCAUAAUAAUAUUUCAUCACCAUCAGUUUGUUCAGACAUUCCCCAAUCAAAGGGCAGCCCCUCAUUUUCCAAUAUUUUUGACACCACAAAGAGCAGAAGAGAAUAUCUUAAUUAAAAAGAGAGGUGGAAUUGACCAUCAAAAACCAUGAAUUGGAUAGAAUGAACAGGAAGAAGGUGAAGGAGAAUGAAAAGUCAGAAGAAUCACCCCAGGGACAGGCCAGUGACAGGAGUUCAUGCCAGAAGCUACCCUAGCCAGCUCGAACCAGACCAGCACUGGAUCCACCUGACAGCCAAGACACCAUCCACUGAAAGCAAAGGAACAAUGCAUUCUUUGGCUCUGCCACCCCGGAAGUGAUCUUGGGGAUGGAAAUGUUUGUAGCAAGCUUCUUCAGUUUGAGUCCACUAUCCCGAGGGACUAAGGUGGUAGAGAGGAGAAUGUUCCCAGACUUGGGAGGAUAUUGGGGUAUUUUUGUUCUUGCUGCAUCGUGUCAGUAAAUAUCUCUUUGUAAAAACUACUUAAUGUUCAUUAGUUACUAGUGAUUCAUUAUCAAGAAGAUAGCAAAUGAUCAAGUAAUAUCAGGGUGUUGAGCACUGGCAAAAAAUAUCAGAAGAAUACAUUAGAUGGGGAGUUGAGCUGACUGCAUUAGAAAGAUACCCUAUGGGGUAGGUUGGUGGCUCAGUGAAUUAAGAGCCAAGCCUAGAGACCUGAGUCUUAGAUUCAAAUUUGGCCUCAGAAUCUUCCUAACUGUGUGACCUUGGGCAAGUCCUUUAAUCCCCAUUGUCUAGCCCUUACUGCUCUUCUGUCUUGGGACCAAUGCACAGAAUUGAUGUGUAAGGUUUUUUUUAAUCCUUACUUUCUCUCUUAGA